AGGACGAACGCUGGCGGCGUGCUUAACACAUGCAAGUGGAGCGACGAACCAGGGCUUGCCCUGGGGCAGAGCCGCGAACGGGUGAGUAACACGUGAGUAAUCUGCCCUUAGCUCUGGGAUAGCUCCGGGAAACCGGGAUUAAUACCAGAUAUGACCACUUUAGACAUCUUUUGUGGUGGAAGAAUUUCGGCUGGGGAUGAACUCGCGGCCUAUCAGCUUGUUGGUGAGGUAAUGGCUCACCAAGGCGACGACGGGUA
rnacentral:rRNA from 1 species